AGUGAACGCUGGCGGUAGGCCUAACACAUGCAAGUCGAACGGCAGCACAGGAGAGCUUGCUCUCUGGGUGGCGAGUGGCGGACGGGUGAGGAAUACAUCGGAAUCUACUUUUUCGUGGGGGAUAACGUAGGGAAACUUACGCUAAUACCGCAUACGACCUACGGGUGAAAGCAGGGGAUCUUCGGACCUUGCGCGAUUGAAUGAGCCGAUGUCGGAUUAGCUAGUUGGCGGGGUAAAGGCCCACCAAGGCGACGAUCCGUAGCUGGUCUGAGAGGAUGAUCAGCCAAACUGGAACUGAGACACGGUCCAGAGUCCUACGGGAGGCAGCGGUGGGGAAUAUUGGACAAUGGGCGCAAGCCUGAUCCAGCCAUACCGCGUGGGUGAAGAAGGCCUUCGGGUUGUAAAGCCCUUUUGUUGGGAAAGAAAUCCAGCUGGCUAAUACCCGGUUGGGAUGACGGUACCCAAAGAAUAAGCACCGGCUAACUUCGUGCCAGCCGCCGCGGUAA
rnacentral:rRNA from 1 species